AAAAUCCGGGCCUCAUAAACUCUGAGACGUGAUACCGAGCCGCUUCAGGCGAAGUCAUUGAUCCUAUGCUGCCUAGAAAAGCCCAGCAGCGAGUUGACAUGGUGCCCGUACCCCAAACCAACACAGGUGGACAGGUAGAGCAUACCAAGGCGAGUGGGAUAACUAUGGUUAAGGAACUCGGCAAAUUGCCUCCGUAACUUCGGGAGAAGCAGGACCCCAGUAGCGUGAUGAGACUUGCUCUCUGAGCGUGAAGGGGUGGCACAAAAUUGAGGGAAGCGACUGUUUACCAAAAACACAGCAGCGUGCUAAGCCGUAAGGCGCUGUAUACGCUGUGACUCCUGCCCGGUGCUGGAAGGUUACGGGGAUGGGUUAGUCCUUCGGGACGAAGCUCUGGACCUAAGCCCCAGUAAACGGCGGCCGUAACUAUAACGGUCCUAAGGUAGCGAAAUUCCUUGUCGGGUAAGUUCCGACCUGCACGAAUGGAGUAACGACUUCCCUACUGUCUCAACCAUAGACCCAGCGAAAUUGAAGUACGAGUAAAGAUGCUCGUUAGCUGCAGAAGGACGGAAAGACCCCGUGGACCUUUACUAUAACUUGAUGUUGUGUUUUGUCAUAUGUUGUGUAGGAUAGGUGGGAGACUCGGAAGCAUGGACGCUAGUCUGUGUGGAGUCAUCGUUGAAAUACCACCCUGCAUAUGGUGAGGCUCUAACCUAGACCCGUUAUCCGGGUCGGGGACAGCGUCAGGCGGGUAGUUUAACUGGGGCGGUUGCCUCCUAAAGAGUAACGGAGGCGCCCAAAGGUUCCCUCAGCCUGGUUGGCAAUCAGGCGUUGAGUGCAAUGGCAAAAGGGAGCUUGACUGCGAGACCUACAAGUCGAGCAGGAGCGAAAGCUGGGCAUAGUGAUCCGGCGGUUGCGUGUGGAAGCGCCGUCGCUCAACGGAUAAAAGGUACCCCGGGGAUAACAGGCUAAUCUUGCCCAAGCGUCCAUAGCGACGGCAAGGUUUGGCACCUCGAUGUCGGCUCAUCGCAUCCUGGGGCUGAAGCAGGUCCCAAGGGUUGGGCUGUUCGCCCAUUAAAGCGGUACGCGAGCUGGGUUCAGAACGUCGUGAGACAGUUCGGUCCCUAUCCUCUGCAGCCGGAGGUGAAUGGAGGAAAGCUGUCCCUAGUACGAGAGGACCGGGACGGACGCAGCUCUCGUGUGCCAGUUGUCCUGCCAAGGGCAUGGCUGGCUAGCGACCUGCGGAAAGGAUAACCGCUGAAAGCAUCUAAGCGGGAAGCCUCUUCCAAGAUGAAUUCACCCACAGGGUUAACCUGGUAAGGCCCGUGGUAGACCACCACGUUGAUAGGCCGGAAGUGUAAGCGUGGCAACACGUUCAGCUGACCGGUACUAAUCGGCC
rnacentral:rRNA from 1 species